ACGUAGGGUCCGAGCGUUGUCCGGAAUUAUUGGGCGUAAAGGGCUCGUAGGCGGUUUGUCGCGUCGGGAGUGAAAACAGCGGGCUUAACUCGUUGCUUGCUUCCGAUACGGGCAGACUAGAGUGUGGUAGGGGAGACUGGAAUUCCUGGUGUAGCGGUGGAAUGCGCAGAUAUCAGGAGGAACACCGAUGGCGAAGGCAGGUCUCUGGGCCAUUACUGACACUGAGAAGCGAAAGCAUGGGGAGCGAACAGGA
rnacentral:rRNA from 1 species